UGGGGUACAGCUCAAUGGUACAGUGUGUGCUUAGCAUGCAUGAGGUUCUGGGUUCAAUCCCCAGUACCUCUA
rnacentral:tRNA from 1 species